GACGGAGGGUGCUAGCGUUGUUCGGAUUUACUGGGCGUAAAGGGCGCGUAGGCGGCCGGAUCAGUCGGGUGUGAAAGCCCGGGGCUCAACCCCGGAACGGCACCCGAGACGGUUCGGCUGGAGACCGGGAGAGGAGGGUGUAAUAGCCAGUGUAGAGGUGAAAUUCGUAGAUAUUGGCUGGAACACCGGUGGCGAAAGCGGCUCUCUGGCCCGGUUCUGACGCUGAGGCGCGAAAGCGUGGGGAGCAAACAGG
rnacentral:rRNA from 1 species